rnacentral:rRNA from 1 species
GAUCCUGGCUCGGGAUGAACGCUAGCUACAGGCUUAACACAUGCAAGUCGAGGGGCAGCAUGGUCUUAGCCUGCUAAGGCCGAUGGCGACCGGCGCACGGGUGAGUAACACGUAUCCAACCUGCCGUCUACUCUUGGACAGCCUUCUGAAAGGAAGAUUAAUACAAGAUGGCAUCAUGAGUCCGCAUGUUCACAUGAAUUAAAGGUAUUCCGGUAGACGAGUGGGAUGUCCG